rnacentral:rRNA from 1 species
AUUGAACGCUGGCGGCAUGCCUUACACAUGCAAGCCGAACGGCAGCGGGCCCUUCGGGGUGCCGGCGAGUGGCGAACGGGUGAGUAAUGCAUCGGAACGUACCCGGGAGAGGGGGAUAACCGGCCGAAAGGCUGGCUAAUACCGCAUGAACUCGGAAGAGCAAAGCGGGGGACCUUCGGGCCUCGCGCUCUCGGAGCGGCCGAUGUCCGAUUAGGCUAGUUGGUGGGGUAAAGGCCCACCAAGGCGACGAUCGGUAGCGGGUCUGAGAGGACGAUCCGCCACACUGGGACUGAGACACGGCCCAGACUCCUACGGGAGGCAGCAGUGGGGAAUCUUGGACAAUGGGCGCAAGCCUGAUCCAGCAAUGCCGCGUGGGUGAAGAAGGCCUUCGGGUUGUAAAGCCCUUUCGGCGGGGAAGAAAUCGGUCAGGCAAAUAGUCUGGCUGGAUGACGGUACCCGCAGAAGAAGCACCGGCUAACUACGUG